AUACGUAGGGGGCGAGCGUUGUCCGGAAUGAUUGGGCGUAAAGGGCGCGUAGGCGGCUUUGCAAGUCAGUAGUGGAAGUCCAUUUUUCAAGGAUGGAAGUGCUACAGAAACUGCGGAGCUUGAGUGCAGGAGAGGUUAUCGGAAUUCCCGGUGUAGCGGUGAAAUGCGUAGAGAUCGGGAGGAACACCAGUGGCGAAGGCGGGUAACUGGACUGCAACUGACGCUGAGGCGCGAAAGUGUGGGGAGCAAACAGGAUUAGAUACCCUGGUAGUCCACACUGUAAACGAUGAAUGCUAGGUGUAGGAGGUAUCGACCCCUUCUGUGCCGCAGUAAACACAGUAAGCAUUCCGCCUGGGGAGUACGGUCGCAAGAUUAAAACUCAAAUGAAUUGACGGG
rnacentral:rRNA from 1 species